rnacentral:rRNA from 1 species
AUACGGAGGGUGCGAGCGUUGUCCGGAAUCACUGGGCGUAAAGGGCGCGUAGGUGGCGCGACAAGUCAACGGUGAAAGCUCGACGCUCAACGUCGAGUCGGCCGUCGAUACUGUCGGGCUGGAGCACUGUAGAGGCUCAUGGAAUUCCGGGUGUAGCGGUGGAAUGCGUAGAGAUCCGGAAGAACACCGGUGGCGAAGGCGGUGAGCUGGGCAGUUGCUGACACUGAGGCGCGACAGCGUGGGGAGCAAACAGGA